rnacentral:rRNA from 1 species
UACGGGGGGUCCUAGCGUUGUUCGGAAUCACUGGGCGUAAAGCGUUUGUAGGUGGCUUUGUAAGUUGAAUGUGAAAGCCCAGGGCCUAACCCUGGAAGUGCAUUCAAUACUGCAAAGCUUGAGUAUGGGAGAGGAAGAUGGAAUUCCUGGUGUAGUGGUGAAAUACGUAGAUAUCAGGAGGAACAUCGGUGGCGAAAGCGGUCUUCUGGCCUAAUACUGACACUGAAAAACGAAAGCGUGGGGAUCAAACAGG